rnacentral:rRNA from 1 species
AGCUUGCUUCUCUGAUGUUAGCGGCGGACGGGUGAGUAACACGUGGAUAACCUACCUAUAAGACUGGGAUAACUUCGGGAAACCGGAGCUAAUACCGGAUAAUAUUUUGAACCGCAUGGUUCAAAAGUGAAAGACGGUCUUGCUGUCACUUAUAGAUGGAUCCGCGCUGCAUUAGCUAGUUGGUAAGGUAACGGCUUACCAAGGCAACGAUGCAUAGCCGACCUGAGAGGGUGAUCGGCCACACUGGAACUGAGACACGGUCCAGACUCCUACGGGAGGCAGCAGUAGGGAAUCUUCCGCAAUGGGCGAAAGCCUGACGGAGCAACGCCGCGUGAGUGAUGAAGGUCUUCGGAUCGUAAAACUCUGUUAUUAGGGAAGAACAUAUGUGUAAGUAACUGUGCACAUCUUGACGGUACCUAAUCAGAAAGCCACGGCUAACUACGUGCCAGCAGCCGCGGUAAUACGUAGGUGGCAAGCGUUAUCCGGAAUUAUUGGGCGUAAAGCGCGCGUAGGCGGUUUUUUAAGUCUGAUGUGAAAGCCCACGGCUCAACCGUGGAGGGUCAUUGGAAACUGGAAAACUUGAGUGCAGAAGAGGAAAGUGGAAUUCCAUGUGUAGCGGUGAAAUGCGCAGAGAUAUGGAGGAACACCAGUGGCGAAGGCGACUUUCUGGUCUGUAACUGACGCUGAUGUGCGAAAGCGUGGGGAUCAAACAGGAUUAGAUACCCUGGUAGUCCACGCCGUAAACGAUGAGUGCUAAGUGUUAGGGGGUUUCCGCCCCUUAGUGCUGCAGCUUACGCAUUAAGCACUCCGCCUGG